UACGUAGGGUGCGAGCGUUGUCCGGAAUUAUUGGGCGUAAAGAGCUCGUAGGCGGCUUGUCGCGUCGGAUGUGAAAGCCCGGGGCUUAACUCCGGGUCUGCAUUCGAUACGGGCAGGCUAGAGUUCGGUAGGGGAGAUCGGAAUUCCUGGUGUAGCGGUGAAAUGCGCAGAUAUCAGGAGGAACACCGAUGGCGAAGGCAGGUCUCUGGGCUGUAACUGACGCUGAGGAGCGAAAGCAUGGGGAGCGAACAGG
rnacentral:rRNA from 1 species